GGCGCAGCAGUCGAGGAAUAUUGGUCAAUGGGCGCAAGCCUGAACCAGCCAUGCCGCGUGAAGGAAGACGGCCCUAUGGGUUGUAAACUUCUUUUGUCAGGGAAUAAACGAUGGUAUGUAUACCGUCCUGAAGGUACCUGAAGAAUAAGCAUCGGCUAACUCCGUGCCAGCAGUCGCGGUAAUACGGAGGAUGCAAGCGUUAUCCGGAUUCAUUGGGUUUAAAGGGUGCGCAGGCGGAUUGGUAAGUCAGGGGUGAAAUCCCACAGCUCAACUGUGGAACUGCCUUUGAUACUGUCAGUCUAGAGUAUAGUUGAAGUUGGCGGAAUGUGUCAUGUAGCGGUGAAAUGCUUAGAUAUGACACAGAACACCGAUCGCGAAGGCAGCUGACUAAGCUAUAACUGACGCUCAUGCACGAAAGCGUGGGGAUCAAACAGGAUUAGAUACCCGUGUAGUCCU
rnacentral:rRNA from 1 species